UAGCAUAUCAAUAAGCGGAGGAAAAGAAACCAACAGGGAUUGCCCUAGUAACGGCGAGUGAAGCGGCAACAGCUCAAAUUUGAAAUCUGGUCUUCGGGCCCGAGUUGUAAUUUGUAGAGGAAGCUUUUGGCGCGGUACCUUCUGAGUCCCCUGGAACGGGGCGCCAUAGAGGGUGAGAGCCCCGUAUAGUUGGAUACCAAGCCUGUGUAAAGCUCCUUCGACGAGUCGAGUAGUUUGGGAAUGCUGCUCAAAAUGGGAGGUAAAUUUCUUCUAAAGCUAAAUACCGGCCAGAGACCGAUAGCGCACAAGUAGAGUGAUCGAAAGAUGAAAAGCACUUUGAAAAGAGGGUUAAAUAGCACGUGAAAUUGUUGAAAGGGAAGCGCUUGUGACCAGACUUGCGCCGGGCUGAUCAUCCGGUGUUCUCACCGGUGCACUCUGCCCGGCUCAGGCCAGCAUCGGUUCUCGCGGGGGGACAAAGGUCCUGGGAACGUAGCUCCUCCGGGAGUGUUAUAGCCCAGGGCGUAAUGCCCCCGCGGGGACCGAGGUUCGCGCUCUGCAAGGAUGCUGGCGUAAUGGUCACCAGCGACCCGUCUUGAAACACGGACCAAGGAGUCAAGGUUUUGCGCGAGUGUUUGGGUGUAAAACCCGCACGCGUAAUGAAAGUGAACGUAGGUGAGAGCUUCGGCGCAUCAUCGACCGAUCCUGAUGUAUUCGGAUGGAUUUGAGUAGGAGCGUUAAGCCUUGGACCCGAAAGAUGGUGAACUAUGCUUGGAUAGGGUGAAGCCAGAGGAAACUCUGGUGGAGGCUCGCAGCGGUUCUGACGUGCAAAUCGAUCGUCAAAUCUGAGCAUGGGGGCGAAAGACUAAUCGAACCAUCUAGUAGCUGGGUACCGC
rnacentral:rRNA from 1 species